GUUGAACGCUGGCGGCAUGCUUUACACAUGCAAGUCGAACGGUAACAGGCCGCAAGGUGCUGACGAGUGGCGAACGGGUGAGUAAUGCAUCGGAACGUGCCCAGUCGUGGGGGAUAACGCAGCGAAAGCUGUGCUAAUACCGCAUACGAUCUAUGGAUGAAAGCGGGGGACCGUAAGGCCUCGUGCGAUUGGAGCGGCCGAUGUCAGAUUAGGUAGUUGGGGGGGUAAAGGCCUACCAAGCCGACGAUCUGUAGCUGGUCUGAGGGGACGACCAGCCACACUGGGACUGAGACACGGCCCAGACUCCUACGGGAGGCAGCAGUGGGGAAUUUUGGACAAUGGGCGCAAGCCUGAUCCAGCAAUGCCGCGUGCAGGAAGAAGGCCUUCGGGUUGUAAACUGCUUUUGUACGGAACGAAACGGUCUGGGUUAAUACCCUGGGCUAAUGACGGUACCGUAAGAAUAAGCACCGGCUAACUACGUGCCAGCCGCCGCAGUAACAC
rnacentral:rRNA from 1 species